rnacentral:rRNA from 1 species
AUACGGAGGGUGCAAGCGUUAUCCGGAAUCAUUGGGUUUAAAGGGUCCGUAGGCGGACUAUUAAGUCAGAGGUGAAAUCCCACAGCUCAACUGUGGAACUGCCUUUGGUACUGGUAGUCUUGAGUUAUAUGGAAGUAGAUAGAAUGUGUAGUGUAGCGGUGAAAUGCAUAGAUAUUACACAGAAUACCGAUUGCGAAGGCAGUCUACUACGUAUAUACUGACGCUAAGGGACGAAAGCGUGGGGAGCGAACAGGAUUAGAAACCCUAGUAGUCC